rnacentral:piRNA from 1 species
UAAUAUUUCAGCUCACCCAGU